rnacentral:rRNA from 1 species
CAGUAGCCGCGGGAAUACGAAGGGGGCUAGCGUUGUUCGGAUUUACUGGGCGUAAAGCGCACGUAGGCGGAUCCUUAAGUCAGAGGUGAAAUCCCAAGGCUCAACCUUGGAACUGCCUUUGAUACUGGGGAUCUCGAGUUCGGGAGAGGUGAGUGGAACUGCGAGUGUAGAGGUGAAAUUCGUAGAUAUUCGCAAGAACACCAGUGGCGAAGGCGGCUCACUGGCCCGAUACUGACGCUGAGGUGCGAAAGCGUGGGGAGCAAACAGGAUUAGAUACCCGAGUAGUCCCUGUCUCUUAUAC